CAACCCUCAUGCCCCCCGGGGCGUGGUGUUGGGGAUCGGCCAGAAGCCCGCAAGGGACGGGCCGUCCCCUAAAUACAGUGGCGGACUCGCUGUGGCAUCCCCUGUGAAGUAGUGAUAUUCCACAUUGGAGCAGCAGCGAGACCCUGCCGUUAAACCCCCCAACUUUCCAA
rnacentral:misc_RNA from 1 species